CAGAGGCCGAUGCCUCCCCUUUGGAAAAGGAGCUCCUCCCCUCGUUCGCUCCCGACGCUGGCAUUUUAGGAGCCUCUGCACGACCCUGCUUUACAAAUCCGUCCCUUCUGGCCUCCUUUUUCCAGCGCCCAGGAAAGGCCGUUUCGCCCUGCGAGGGACACAGAGCCGUUGACCGUGGUUGCAACUGGCAGUUGGCGCAGUAAGGACCCAGCCAGUGUUUCAGAUUUGCUGGGCCGUGGCUGUCACCCAGGGAGCUGCUAAGGGCAUCCAUACCUGAAGGCGGAAGGCAGGAUUGCCGGCGGAGAAGAGAUCCAGGUGCCUUGAUGUGAGUGUUGACGGUGGAAAGCAGGCCAGAGCCAGAGACAGAGUCUUGCUAUGUUGCCUAGACUGGCUUCAAGCUCCCAGGCUUAACAGUCCUCCUGCCUCAGCCUCCUGAGUAGUUGGGACUAUAGACUUGUGCCACCAUGCCCAGCUUGCACUGGUUAUUUUUGGCAGAAGGGAAGUUUCAUCAUAAAGCCUUUCUCUUCAGCUCCGGGUGCCAGCUGGAGCCCCAGAAGAGGAUCAGGCAUCGUGUUUAGUCACAACCCCCACUCCUUCAUUGGGCCAGCAAAUAUCUAUCCAUCUUCCCACCGUCUACUCGCAGCCAACCAUGUUCCUGACACUGAAGCCAGAGGUGAGUCCUGCCCUCCAUUGGGGUGGGAGCCUCCUAAGCCAGCAGGGGGAUGGACGCCCCGACUUGAGGGAGAUGCCGCCAUCAAGAACAGGGUUCCAUGGCUCUGGUUCCAAGCCUCAUUUCCUUCCCUUCCUUCCGCCCCUCCCCUCCGCUCCCUCUCCCCUCUCCUCCUCCUCUCCUCUUCCCCCUCCCCGCCCUCCUUCCCUCCCUUCCUUCCCUCUUUUUCUUCUAUCUUUUUUCUUUCUUUCUUUCUCUUUUUCUUUAAGACAGGGUCUUGCUCUAUAGCCCAGGCUAGAGUGCAGUGGAACAAUCAGAGCUCACUGCAGCGUCGACAUCCUGGGCUCAUGUGAUCUUCUCACCUCAGCCUUCCAAGUAGUUGGGACCACAGGUGUG
rnacentral:lncRNA from 1 species